UACUUUUCAACUUAUUUUAAUUCCUCUAAUUUACUAUAAGCACAUGUAACUCGAGAUACCAUAUAGAUUUAUCAACACAAUAACAACACAUAAGAUAAUAUUACUCAUAAUAUUUAUAGCAGCACUGAUUCAUUUAUUAUUGAAAUGGACAGAAUAAGUUAAGUGUUACUAGGGCUUCUAUUAGUGCCACUUUUUCUAACAAUCUAUAGUUCAUAAAUGUGCUUAAUCGAUUAAUUAUUUUAUGC
rnacentral:lncRNA from 1 species